GCAGGCGCGGGCAGCACCAGAAUCCUCGUGGCAAACUUCUAUGUGGCCUUCAAAGCUCACUUCCAUCCUCUGGCAUUCCCUGACUCUUCCAGCUCUCCUAGGCUCCUGGACGACUCUGCACCAUCCUCUCUUUUGUGAUGUGUGAUGGUGAAGGCGGUGAUGAAGAUGGUGAUGAAGAUGGUGGUGGGUUCUAGAAGCUUCUUUGAAGAAAUCUUGUGACUUGAAGUAAACUAAUGUUUGAGUAGUGAA